ensembl:lncRNA
AUGAAUUGGCAGGAGGCUUUGUUGCACGUGGUCUCUCAGAAACUCAGGCUGUUGGAAGUUGCACCAUCUUGUAAUUGCACCCAGUGGCAAAGAGCAACCAAAGAACCAAACGCUGGAGUGAAAUCAUGUGAUCUCAGCUCCCUGCAACCUCAGCCCUCCAAGUUCAAGCGAUUCUCCUGCCUCAGCCUCCCAAGUAGCAGGGAUUACAGGGCCCUCAAGAAGGUUAUCAAGAUUAAAUGAAGUAAAAAGGAUGGACCCCUAAUUCAAUAGGAAUGAUGCGAUUAUAAGAAGAGAAAGAAACACCAGGACACAGAGGCAAGACGGUGUGAGGACACAAUGGGAAGGUGACAUCUGCAACUAAGGAGAGGAUUCUGAAUAAACCAAAGCUGCUGACCUCUUAGCCUUGGACAUCCAGUCUCUAUAAAAGUGAAUAAAUAAAUGUGUGUUGUUUAAACUACCCAGUCUUUGUGACUUUGUUAUGACAGCCCUAGCAGAUGAUCAGAAAUGCGUUCAGAUGUUCACAAGAAGAAAUGUACAGAAUGUUCCUUAGCAACAUUCUUGGUAUUUGGUUAUUCUGAGAAUAACCAAAACCUGGAAACAGUCCAGAUGUCCAUCAAGUGUAGAUUGUAUCAGUUAUGUUUAUUUAGACCAAACAAUAUAAUUUGGCAAUAAAAACUAACAGAUUAGAGCUAGACAUAGCAAGAUGAAUAAAUCACAAACAUAAUGUUGAGCCAAGGAGACUAAGUACAGAUGACUUCAUCUUGAAUGAUUCUGUUCAUAUGAAGUUUGAUGAAUCAGCCAAAAUGAAUCUGCUCUGUUAGAAAUCAGGAAUCAGGAGACUAGUUACCCUUGGGGGCCAGUUAAAAAAAAAGGCGGGGGAAGUGAAAAGGGGCUUUCUGUAAUGUUGCUAAUAUCCUGAGUCUUAAUUUCAGUGAGUGCUGGUUACAUGCAUAUGUGUCUUUUGUGAAGAGCCAGGGUACCAUUAUUUAUGCAGCUUUUUGUAUGUAUAUUAUACUUCAAUAACAACAGGCAAGUGAUAGAUCUGGGACUCAAACCCAGGCUUCCAGGCUCUAAAUCUCUUGACUUCUCAUUACAUUGUUUAAAUGGUUUUAUAUUCCAAUUUUAUCAGGGAGUUUUAGAUAUCUGUAUCUAAUCAUCUCCCAUAAUCAAUAUCAACAACUCAUGUCUUAAAGAUCUAGAACUUUUACCAUGACUAAAUAGCUCCCUGGAAUAAGGUUCUCUUCACUGAUCUUCCCCUUCCUUUUCUUUUCAGAAUAUUUUUUCUUCGCUUUAAUUCAGAGAGCUGGUAUCUUUCAUAUUUAUUGUUUUCUCCCAUGAAGCGUAGAAGCUGGCAGGGUUUUGCUGCUCACAAAACAGCCUCCACGCUUACACUGACUUGAAAUUUCCCAUGCUGAGUCAUGCUGGGAAUACGGAAAAGCCCCUGGCUUUAAAAGUUCCCAGAAACUAUUUAAUCUUCAGUUCAUCAAAUGCACCCAGAUUCUAAGUAUGGCAAGACACAAUACAUGGAUUUUCUCUUUUUACUUUUAACUCAUAACUUUUCAUUUAAGUCUCCCAAGUAUUUACUCUUACAUCUAAUAUACUUUUUUAAUCUAACCCAUUUUUUUCCCAUGAUGAAGUCAACUGAGACAUAUUUCUAAAGUGUGGCACAAGCCAGAGGAAGGGUGGCCAUAUGCAUGGAUUUUCUAUCUAUUAAUUUAAAAUUAAU